AANNGGCGCAGCCCNGACCAGCCAUGCCGCGNNGCAGGAUGACGGUCCUAUGGAUUGUAAACUGCUUUUAUACGAGAAGAAACACUCCCUCGUGAGGGAGCUUGACGGUAUCGUAAGAAUAAGGAUCGGCUAACUCCGUGCCAGCAGCCGCGGUAAUACGGAGGAUCCAAGCGUUAUCCGGAAUCAUUGGGUUUAAAGGGUCCGUAGGCGGUUAGAUAAGUCAGUGGUGAAAGCCCAUCGCUCAACGGUGGAACGGCCAUUGAUACUGUUUGACUUGAAUUAUUAGGAAGUAACUAGAAUAUGUAGCGUAGCGGUGAAAUGCUUAGAGAUUACAUGGAAUACCAAUUGCGAAGGCAGGUUACUACUAAUUGAUUGACGCUGAUGGACGAAAGCGUGGGUAGCGAACAGGAUUAGAUACCCUGGUAGUCCACGCCGUAAACGAUGGAUACUAGCUGUUGGGAGUAAUUUCAGUGGCUAAGCGAAAGUGAUAAGUAUCCCACCUGGGGAGUACGAACGCAAGUUUGAAACUCAAAGGAAUUGACGGGGGCCCGCACAAGCGGUGGAGCAUGUGGUUUAAUUCGAUGAUACGCGAGGAACCUUACCAAGGCUUAAAUGUAGAUUGACCGAUUAGGAAACUAGUCUUUCGCAAGACAGUUUACAAGGUGCUGCAUGGUUGUCGUCAGCUCGUGCCGUGAGGUGUCAGGUUAAGUCCUAUAACGAGCGCAACCCCUGUUGUUAGUUGCCAUCGAGUCAAGUCGGGAACUCUAACAAGACUGCCAGUGCAAACUGUGAGGAAGGUGGGGAUGACGUCAAAUCAUCACGGCCCUUACGCCUUGGGCUACACACGUGCUACAAUGGACGGUACAGAGAGCAGCCACUACGUGAGUAGGAGCGAAUCUAUNAAAACCGUUCUCAGUUCGGAUCGGANUCUG
rnacentral:rRNA from 1 species